rnacentral:rRNA from 1 species
UACGGAGGGAGCUAGCGUUGUUCGGAAUUACUGGGCGUAAAGCGCGCGUAGGCGGCUUUGUAAGUUAGAGGUGAAAGCCCGGGGCUCAACCCCGGAACAGCCUUUAAGACUGCAUCGCUAGAAUCCGGGAGAGGUGAGUGGAAUUCCGAGUGUAGAGGUGAAAUUCGUAGAUAUUCGGAAGAACACCAGUGGCGAAGGCGGCUCACUGGACCGGUAUUGAUGCUGAGGUGCGAAAGCGUGGGGAGCAAACAGG